AUUAAACGCUGGCGGCAUGCCUUACACAUGCACGUGGAAUGGUAACAGGUCCUCGGAUGCUGACGAGUGGCGAACGGGUGAGUAAUACAUCGGAACGUGCCCGAUCGUGGGGGAGAACGAAGCGAAAGCUUUGAUAAGACCGCAUAAGAUCUACGGUUGAACGCAGGGGACCGCAAGGCAUGGCGCGAACGGAGCGGCCGAUGGCAGAUUAGGUAGUUGGUGGGAUAAAAGCUUACCAAGCCGACGAUCUGUAGCUGGUCUGAGAGGGCGACCAGCCACACUGGGACUGAGACACGGCCCAGACUCCUACGGGAGGCAGCAGUGGGGAAUUUUGGACAAUGGGCGAAAGCCUGAUCCAGCCAUGCCGCGUGCAGGAUGAAGGCCUUCGGGUUGUAAACUGCUUUUGUACGGAACGAAAAGACUCUUUCUAAUAAAGAGGGUCCAUGACGGUACCGUAAGAAUAAGCACCGGCUAACUACGUGCCAGCCGCCGCGGUAAUAC
rnacentral:rRNA from 1 species